AUCUAUAAAUUCUGAAGUUCCAUGUUCUCCUACAGCAAGCUAUAGUUGGAUUUGGAAACUUCGAGUUCCUCAAAGAGUUCAAAUGUUUUGUUGGCAACUUGAUUCCGUGCAAAGAUCUCUUGUUUAGAAAAGGAAUUUUAUCUGCUGAGCAGCGAUCAUGUGAUCUGAUCUGUGUGGGCAGUCGGUAGAGGAUUGCGAGCACGUCAUUAUUUUGUGUCUAUUUGCGAUAACUUGCUGGAGGAGGUUGGUUCAUAUGUUUACUAUGAAUGAUGUUCCUCAUACUUUAGCUGACUUGUUUGAUUUGCUUUCGAAU
rnacentral:lncRNA from 1 species